rnacentral:rRNA from 1 species
CCCCUGUGACAUACCUUAAUGUUGCCUCGGCGGAUCAGCCCGCGCCCCGUAAAACGGGACGGCCCGCCAGAGGACCCAAACUCUAAUGUUUCUUAUUGUAACUUCUGAGUAAAACAAACAAAUAAAUCAAAACUUUCAACAACGGAUCUCUUGGUUCUGGCAUCGAUGAAGAACGCAGCAAAAUGCGAUAAGUAAUGUGAAUUGCAAAAUUCAGUGAAUCAUCGAAUCUUUGAACGCACAUUGCGCCCGCUGGUAUUCCGGCGGGCAUGCCUGUUCGAGCGUCAUUUCAACCCUCAAGCCCCCGGGUUUGGUGUUGGGGAUCGGCUCUGCCCUUCUGGGCGGUGCCGCCCCCGAAAUACAUUGGCGGUCUCGCUGCAGCCUCCAUUGCGUAGUAGCUAACACCUCGCAACUGGAACGCGGCGCGGCCAUGCCGUAAAACCCCAACUUCUGAAUGUUGACCUCGGAUCAGGUAGGAAUACCCGCUGAACUUAA